rnacentral:lncRNA from 1 species
AGAACAGUCCAAAAACAGAUGCUAAAGCCCCCUACACAGAGCCUCAGUGCUUCGAUCUGAUAGACAACAGGUCUGUGUUCCACCUGUGUGCCUGAAGAAGUGUGACGAGACUGUUGGAUACCCUGGGACUUGUGAGCCACCAUGUGAGUUCUAGAAACUGAACCUGGCUCUUCUAUUAGCCACCUCUCUAACUUCCAUAGGAAUGCACACAGCUGCAACAGACAUACCUUUCUUUCUUUCUUUUUUUUUUUGAGUCAGGGUCUCAUUAUAUUCCUCGCUUGGCCUGUAACUUGCUAUAUAGACCAAGAACACUAGUUUCUAAAUUUUACUUAUUAUAAGUUUGUGUUUGUGUCCGAGUCUGUGUGUGUGGUUUCGAGUGAGUACGUGCCAUGGCAUACAUUUGGAAGGUAGGCCACUUGCUAGGAAUUGAACUCAGAAUGGGAGGCACUAGUCUUUGUCGAUCUGGCACAAACUAGAGACUCCUGGGAAGAGGGAUGAGGAGUUUCCUCCAUCAGAUUGGACUAUGGGUAUGUCUCUGGGACAUUUCUUGAUUUCUAAUUAACAGAGAAGGGUCCUGUCUGCCUGGAAAUACUACCCCUGUGCAGGUGGUCCUGCCCACCUGGGAGUGCUGCCCCUGUGCAGGUAGUCCUGCCCACCUGGGAGUGCUGCCCCUGUGCAGGUGGUCCUGCCCACCUGGGAGUGCUGCCCCUGUGCAGGUUGUCCUAGACUGUACAAGGUAGCCGAAGAUUCAGUUUCCAACAUCCAUACAGUGGCUAACAGCUCUUGUUCUAAGGGAUGCUCUCUUUUGCUACCCGUGUGAGUACUGUAACAGAUAUACAUGCAAACAAAACAUACAUACACAUAAAAUAAAAAUAAACAAACCUUAAAAAAAAAAGAGGCAGUUGACCAUGAGCCUGGAAGAGAGCCAGGAAGCAGCGUUCUUCCAUAGCCUCUGCUUCAGUGCCUGCCCUGGCCUUCCUCAAUGAUGGAGUGUAACUUGUAAGUCAAGCAGACCCUUUUAUUUACCAAGUUCAUUUUAAUCAGUAUUUAUAUCACAGCAAUAGAAAGCAGUCGAAGACAAAUGACAAGCACCUUUAUCUGCAGAGCCAUCUCAUAGGCUCAACUCAUUUCUUCCCCUUAAUUUGUUAAUGUUUUUAAUUGAAAUAGGAUUACAUCAUUUACUCCACCCCCCUUUCCUUCCUCUUGCCCCUUUCAGUUGUUGUGUCUAGAAUCUCCCAGUCUCCACCACUCUAAAGUUGAUAGCACACACACACACACACACCCCUAUAUAUAUAAGUAGAACCCGCUGACUUUGUUUUUGUUCUUUGAAUAGAUAUGGUUUCAAGACUGAAAACUCUGUAUUGGAUGACCAGUAUAGAGCCUCAUCCCUAGACAGGGCUUCUUCUCCUCCCGGCAGUCAAUAGUUGCCUGCAGUUCUUUGUCUAGGAGUGGGGAAUCCCUAAACUUUCCCCUUCCCUUUUAACAGGUCCGUUGAUGUUGCCAUUGUUCUGAUCUUAUUUACUCAGCCAUUUCUUUUCAUUUUUUGUUUUUUUGUUUUUUUGGAGACAGGGUUUCUCUGUAUAGCCCUGGCUGUCCUGGAACUCACUUUGUAGACCAGGCUGGCCUCGAACUCAGAAAUCUGCCUGCCUCUGCCUCGAGAGUACUGGGAUUAAAGGCUUACUCAGCCAUUUCUAAGAGGGACUGCCUCACAGAAGACUUCUGGUUAUUCUGCCUCUGGCAAUCUUUCCACCUGCCUCUUCCAGGAUGUUCUCUGAGCCAGGAGCUGUGAUGCCGAUGUAUCCACUGGGGCUGGGUUCCUCAGGAUACACUGAUCUCUGCAUUGGUCCAGUUGUGAUUUCUACAUAGUAGUUUCUUUUGCUGUUGUUUUUUGUUUGGGUUUUAAGACAGGGCCUCUCUCCAUAGCUCAAGUUGUCCUGGAACUCACAAAAAAAAUCCUCCUGCCUCUGCUUCCCUAGUACUGGGCUUAAAGGUGUGUCCCACCGUGCCAGACUCCUUCAUAGUAGUUUCUCAAAGAUCAUUGCAACGUGAAUCUAGAACCACAUCAAGAAUUCCCAGCAAUUGCAGUAAAAUGUUUUGGUUUAUUUUACACUUUGAAGAGACUUUGUUACCUUAUAUAUUGGUUAUGUAGAAAAAUACAGAAAAAACCUACUAAAUGUGCAGAUCUUCUAAAUGUUAGUGCAUUUCAUGAUAUAGUUACUUUAAAGUUCACAUUCAUUAAACCACCAUCAAUCUCAUAACAGACGUCUCUAAGGAUUAGGAAGCAUUCAAGUUCAUGGUGGCAGACACAAGUGUUCCAAAAUUCUAAUUUUUUCAUUUGAAAGCUUCAAUCUUAUUAUUGGCAACAAAUACUCCUUGUUAUUUUCCUUGAAGUGACAGGCUUAGUUUGUUCAUUUUUGGGAAACUAUGUGCCACAUCCUCAAAUCUGAAUAACUGUAGUUUGUGUCUCAGUCAUUCUUUCAAGCAAGAUGGAACUCC